rnacentral:rRNA from 1 species
UGGGGAAUCUUCCGCAAUGGGCGCAAGCCUGACGGAGCAACGCCGCGUGAGUGAAGAAGGGUUUCGACUCGUAAAGCUCUGUUGUCGGGGACGAAUGUCAGGACUCAAAAUAUGGGUUCUGAAUGACGGUACCUGACGAGGAAGCCACGGCUAACUACGUGCCAGCAGCCGCGGUAAUACGUAGGUGGCGAGCGUUGUCCGGAAUUAUUGGGCGUAAAGGGAGCGCAGGCGGGAAGGUAAGUCUAUCUUAAAAGUGCGGGGCUCAACCCCGUGAGGGGAUGGAAACUAUCUUUCUUGAGUGCAGGAGAGGAAAGCGGAAUUCCUAGUGUAGCGGUGAAAUGCGUAGAUAUUAGGAGGAACACCAGUGGCGAAGGCGGCUUUCUGGACUGUAACUGACGCUGAGGCUCGAAAGCGUGGGGAGCGAACAGG